CCUCUGACACAGCGCCACCGUGGCGCUGACAUGGCGUCUCCGUAGCGCUGACGUGGAGAUGACGUGGCAUUUUCGGUCAAUUUUAACAGCUAUCUAACGGCUGGAACUUAAUUGAAAUGAAAUCAAAAGAUUAGGGACUUGAUUGCAAAAAAAAAAGGUUGGGGACCAAAUUGAAAAACAGUGUAAAGUUAGGGACCAUUGGUGUAAUUAACCCCAUUUUUUUAAUUGAAAUUAUUUAUGUAUCACAAAUCUCUUCACAUCUUUUCACCGUUAUAAAAACUUAAGACCUCUUUAUUUUAUUGAAUGCGCUAAUAGAAAUGGUUGAAGUUACAAUAGAAAUUUUAACUACUUGGUAAUAGAAGUAAUAUUGUCACGCCCCGCGACCAACCGCCAAUUUGGACCGGGUCGCGGCGCCGACGACAGACCGUCGAAUGGAUCAGGAUUUUUCCUGUACGCGGACAGAGUCUCCUCUGUACGUUCUAGGCGUCGCAAUCCAAACAAUCAACGAAUGUUCCAAGUAGGAACGGAUAUCAAUCCAGAUUGCAUAAGGAAGUAUCAAAUACAUAAAACUAAUAGCUAUUACAAGCAUUCAUUCGCAUUCAAUUAAUACAACUCAGUUACAUUUUACUUCCAAAUUACAAUCUAAUUAUCACAUCAUUUAAUUUACAAGUUUGAUACAUUUUCCUUUCUAGCUUUCUAGUCCCCUAAGCUAGACUGCGUCAGGGUACUGCUACCUCGGUCUCUGUGGUAGGGCGCUAUCUACUGAGCUAUGCCCUCGCCUCGCGCCACCGCGCUGCACACGUACAACCUGAAAACACCCCAAAACCACGUGGGGUGAGAACCAACUCCAUGGUUCCCAGUGGGUACGGCCACCCAAGGGAAAAGCUCGACCGAUAGGUCCGAGGAGGCACUGCAACAUGUUAGUUCAACAAUAUACAACAGAUAUAUAUUCAAUUGAAAUACAUGCCAUGCCUCACGAUAUGCGAUAUGAAAAUCAUGCAGCUCUAUGCAACAACUAGUAGAUCAUUAGAUUCUACAUUUUACUAAGCUACUCUUAGCUUACAACUUUACUCUAAGGUCUCCAUUACCUUAGGAUCUCAACUCAGUCCACUGGCUUCUAAGGUCUCUAUUACCUUAGCUCAAGCCUCUAUCUCUAGCUCAUAAGGGUUCCUCUACCCUAUCGAUGCUAACCACACGACUCGGCUUCGAGUCAAUCAUUCGCGGAUAACCCGCGCACUGGCUGCUCAUCAGCCUACCGCCCUCUCUGUCUCAGCCCCCUAGCGGCGAAAUCGUCGCACACGCUAAGCUCGGC
rnacentral:lncRNA from 1 species